UCAAAACAUGUCUGUAUGUUUGUAAAUAUAAAGUCUGGUCUGCCCACUGAUAUAAUUUAAAGGGCCGCGGUAAUUUGACCGUGCGAAGGUAGCAUAAUAAUUAGUCUUUUAAUUGGAGGCUUGAAUGAACGAUCGGAUGAGGGACAUACUGUCUCUUUAAAAAAAUGAAUUUAACCUUUGAGUGAAAAGGCUCAAAUUUUUUAGUGGGACGAAAAGACCCUAUAAAACUUGAUAGAAAUUGGGUAUAACCAUUGAAUUUAGUUUAAAAUGAUCUUAUGCAAUUUGUAUUUUGUUGGGGCGACAAGAAUAAAAUUUGUAACUGUUUAAUAAAUUAAAUAGCUCUUGCUAGAUUCUGAUCCUUUAUUAGAGAUUACAAGAUUAAGUUACUUUAGGGAUAACAGCGUAAUUUUCUUUGAGAGUUCUUAUUGACAAGAUUAGUUGCGACCUCGAUGUUGAAUUAAAAAGUUAGAUGGGUGCAGCCGCUCAUUUGUAAGGUCUGUUCGACCUUUAAAUUUUUACAUGAUUUGAGUUCAAACCGGUGUGAGCCAGGGUUU
rnacentral:rRNA from 1 species